GACGAACGCUGGCGGCGUGCCUAACACAUGCAAGUCGAACGAAGUGGCGGACGGGUGAGUAACGCGUAAUAAACUUGCCCUUCAGCGGGGGACAACAGUUGGAAAGGCUUCCUAAUACCGCAUACUGAAGGAGGGGAUUGCGUCUGAUUGGCGAGUUGGAGGGGUAAGGGCCCACCAAGGCGAUGAUCAGGAGCCGGUCUGAGAGGAUGGACGGCCAGCAUGGGACUGGGACACGGCCCAGACGCCUACGGGAGGCAGCAGUGGGGAAUCUUCCGCAAUGGGCGAAAGUCUGACGGAGCAACGGCGCGGGAGUGAUGACGGCCGUCGGGUUGUAAAGCUCUGUUAAUCGGGACGCGGUACCGGAAUAGAAAGCCACGGCUAACUACGUGCCAGCAGCCGCGGUAAUUC
rnacentral:rRNA from 1 species